GAGGGAGCCUGAGAAACGGCUACCACAUCCAAGGAAGGCAGCAGGCACGCAAAUUACCCACUCCCGGCACGGGGAGGUAGUGACAAAAAAUAACGAUACGGGACUCAUUUGAGGCCCCGUAAUCGGAAUGAGUACACUUUAAAUCCUUUAACAAGGAUCCAUUGGAGGGCAAGUCUGGUGCCAGCAGCCGCGGUAAUUCCAGCUCCAAUAGCGUAUAUUAAAGUUGUUGCGGUUAAAAAGCUCGUAGUUGGUUCUGCGUGCCACGCUGUCGGUUCGCCGCCUGCCGGUGCUACUGGCAUGCCGUGGCAUGUCCUGUCGGUGGGUGUCCGGGGCCCCGUGCGGGCGGCAGGAGGCCGGGUUCGCUCGUGCUCCUCCCUGCACGUCGGCGGGUUCACUCCGGCUCCCUAUUAUCCUACCUAGGUGCUCUUCACCGAGUGUCGAGGUAGGCCGACACGUUUACUUUGAACAAAUCAGAGUGCUUAAAGCAGGCUGAAAAAUUCUGCCUGAAUGAUGGCGCAUGGAAUAAUAAAACAGGACCUUGGUUCUAUUUUGUUGGUUCUUAAGAACACAAGGUAAUGAUCAAUAAGGACAGGCGGGGGCAUUCGUAUUGCGGGGUUAGAGGUGAAAUUCUUGGAUCCUCGCAAGACGA
rnacentral:rRNA from 1 species